CCUACGGUGGGGCUGCAGUGAGGAAUAUUGGUCAAUGGUCGGGAGACUGAACCAGCCAAGCCGCGUGAGGGAGGAAGGUACAGAGUAUCGUAAACCUCUUUUGUCAGGGAACAAAGGCGGGGACGUGUCCCCGGAUGAGUGUACCUGAAGAAAAAGCAUCGGCUAACUCCGUGCCAGCAGCCGCGGUAAUACGGAGGAUGCGAGCGUUAUCCGGAUUUAUUGGGUUUAGAGGGUGCGCAGGCGGUCUGUUAAGUCAGCGGUCAAAGCCCGGGCCUCAACCCGGCCCGCCGUUGAAACUGGCAGUCUCGAGUUGGAGAGAAGUAUGCGGAAUGCGCGGUGUAGCGGUGAAAUGCAUAGAUAUUAGGAGGAACACCAGUGGCGAAGGCGGCCUGCUGGACGACAACUGACGGUGAGGCGCGAAAGCGUGGGGAGCAAACAGGAUUAGAUACCCGUGUAGUC
rnacentral:rRNA from 1 species